rnacentral:rRNA from 1 species
CCCUUAGAUGUUCUGGGCUGCACGCGCGCUACACUGAUGCACUCAACGAGUUUACGACCUUGCCCGAUAGGGUUGGGUAAUCUUUUUAAAAUGCAUCGUGAUGGGGAUAGAUUAUUGCAAUUAUUAAUCUUCAACGAGGAAUUCCUAGUAAGCGCGAGUCAUCAGCUCGUGCUGAUUACGUCCCUGCCCUUUGUACACACCGCCCGUCGCUCCUACCGAUUGAGUGCUCAGGUGAAUAAUUCGGACUGCAGCAAUGUUUGGAUCCCGAACGUUGCAGCGGAAAGUUUAGUGAACCUUAUCGCUUAGAGGAAGGAGAANUCGUANCA